CGGGAACAUUACUCUCCCUCUGAGAGGGGUGGUGGUAGAGGAACCGAUGCCGAAGAAUGCGUCCGCUGACAGACUUGCAAAGAGCGCACUGCAGGACAAACACGCUGUGAAAAAGCCGCCGUCACCCUCUCUCCAGGAGAAUGAGCCGAUGGAAACAGCCAGUGAAGAAGAGGAACGGGAAGACAACGAGGAAGAAGAGGAGGAGGAUGAUACUCGGAGUUCUGAGGAGGAGGGAGGACUAUUCCCGGUAGCCAUGACAACCGAACCAGUGCUCAUUGAGAAAAUCAGAGAAGAUGCUGAGAUCCAGAAAGCAUCAAAGCAGGAGAGCCCCCAGCAGGAGCAGCAGGAGGGAGGCAAAGGUUUACCGGUGCUUGAUUUCCUCCCCGACACACCGGUUCAGGGAGCCUUGCAG
rnacentral:lncRNA from 1 species